rnacentral:lncRNA from 1 species
GAAUUUGAUUGAAUUCUGUGAAUGAUGAAAAUGUUAUCGUUAAACCCAUGAAAUUUGAUUGAGUUGUGUGAACGAUAAAAAUGUUGUUCUUAAACCCAUGAAAUUUGAUUGAAUUAUGUGAAUGAUGAUAAUGUUGUUGUUGUUAAAUUCAUGAAAUUUGAUUGAAUUGUGUGAAUGAUGAAAAUGUUGAUGUUAAACCAAUGAAAUUUGAUAGAAUUGUGUGAAUAAUGAAAAUGUUGUUGUUGUUGAACCCAUGAAAUUUGAUUGAAUUGUAUGAAUGAUGAAAAUGUUGUUGUUGUUAAACCCAUGAAAUUUGAUUGAAUUGUGUGAAUGAUGAAAAUGUUGUUGUUAAAC